AUGGGUGGCGGCGUUGAUGGCAACGAGACCGAGAGCUGUGGCGGCGUCCCUUCUGUGUGGAGUAGAGGUAGCUCUCCCGUCGGAAGUAGUCGCGCCGCCGUCGCUGUGGCAGGCAGUGUGGCCAGCGCCGGCGUCAGCGAGGAGAGCGUGGCACUGUGUAGCCGCGCCGUUGUCGCCGGAGGUAGUGGCGGCGUUGUCCUUCCAGCGAGGUCGUCCGCGCCGGUCGUGGGAUGGUCUCGCAUCCCGGACUCGCGUGUCUUCCCUCAGGAGGUGUGGCAGCGCGGUGAGCCGGAUUUGCGCCCCGCGCGAGGCCGCGUUCUCAUCGCUCGCACUGCUGGCAUGGCGGCGCUAGAGCAGGCAUUCCACGGGAGAGCGUUGUAUGCCACCAUCAUUGGACAGCCGCGGAGCCUGGUGACGCCGGAGGCACUCGCCGCGGCGAUGGCGUCUCAUUGUGCCAUCAGGCCGGCAGCCAUGAAGGUGGAGGUGACCAGCCCACCAUUCCACUUUUUCGUGCGGUUUGACUCGCUAGAGGAUUGCACUCGUGUGGUGCUCGCGUCGGAGCAGGUGCGUUGCAGCGGCAGCAGAAUUAGUUUUCAACAUUGGUCAAGUUUGUCGCGUGGUAGGCCGUUGAAGCUAGAGUACAAGACGACGCUGAGCUUGGAGGGGCUCCCGGAAGAGGCCUGGGACCCGGAUACCGUCAACCUGGUGCUCGCCGGUGUCGACGGUGAGCUCAUCGACAUGCUCCCGGCUACUGACAAGUGGGUGCUGCCUUGCACAGCGUGGCUACGCAAUCCUAGUGCUGUUCCGAAGGUGCUCACUGUCUCUGUUCCGGCUCCUCCUCUGCAACCGUGGACGCCGGACUCCGAUGACGAGAAUGCUCAUUCACCGCCGUGCCCGAACUCUCCAACUGAUCAUGGCACCAUUGAUUUUCCAGUGACCAUGCAUGUCAAGGAGGUCAUCGACCGUGGCCCAUUGCUAACUGAAGGGUUGGCUGAUGAGUUACUCCCCGACGAAGACGCAGAUCUCAGCCGCAAGCACACUUUCACAACCUGGCGCGGCAAGAUAGUUGGUACUGGACCUGGACCAUAUGGUAAUGCUUAA
rnacentral:rRNA from 1 species